rnacentral:rRNA from 1 species
CAGCCGCCGCGGUAAUACAGAGGGUGCGAGCGUUAAUCGGAUUUACUGGGCGUAAAGCGUGCGUAGGCGGCUUCUUAAGUCGGAUGUGAAAUCCCUGAGCUUAACUUAGGAAUUGCAUUCGAUACUGGGAAGCUAGAGUAUGGGAGAGGAUGGUAGAAUUCCAGGUGUAGCGGUGAAAUGCGUAGAGAUCUGGAGGAAUACCGAUGGCGAAGGCAGCCAUCUGGCCUAAUACUGACGCUGAGGUACGAAAGCAUGGGGAGCAAACAGGAUUAGAGACCCGAGUAGUCCCUGUCUCUUAUAC